AGUGAACGCUGGCGGUAGGCCUAACACAUGCCAGUCGAACGGCAGCACAGUAAGAGCUUGCUCUUACGGGUGGCGAGUGGCGGACGGGUGAGGAAUACAUCGGAAUCUACUUUUUCGUGGGGGAUAACGUAGGGAAACUUACGCUAAUACCGCAUACGACCUACGGGUGAAAGCAGGGGAUCUUCGGACCUUGCGCGAUUGAAUGAGCCGAUGUCGGAUUAGCUAGUUGGCGGGGUAAAGGCCCACCAAGGCGACGAUCCGUAGCUGGUCUGAGAGGAUGAUCAGCCACACUGGAACUGAGACACGGUCCAGACUCCUACGGGAGGCAGCAGUGGGGAAUAUUGGACAAUGGGCGCAAGCCUGAUCCAGCCAUACCGCGUGGGUGAAGAAGGCCUUCGGGUUGUAAAGCCCUUUUGUUGGGAAAGAAAAGCAGCAGGUGAAUACCCCGCUGUUCUGACGGUACCCAAAGAAUAAGCACCGGCUAACUUCGUG
rnacentral:rRNA from 1 species